UGUCACAUACAGGCUAAGGGAUUCAGGAC
rnacentral:piRNA from 1 species